AGGAAUUUACGAAGUUGAGAAGUUAGAAAUAUAUUUUUUGCACUUUUUUUGUCAUUUUUAGCUGAUUUUGGUUUGUAACCAAGGUGAUAUUUUUUAAAGAAUAAUUUUACAAAAGGCAUAGUUGAAGAACAUCUUGUUGAAAUUGGAUUGGUUGAUUUUUGGUGUUAAACACCACUUUAACAUGAUUUACUAUAAUUUUGGCUGUAAAUUUUUAUUUGUGGAGACAGCCAGAGUGCCUGGUGAAAACAUCACCUUCAUCAGGGAAACGGGCAAACCCUAGUCAAAUUAAGAAUGAAGUUGCACAUUUCAUGUGAGAGUUCUCAGUGUUGACAGGCUAGUGAUACAGUAGUUGAACUACUUAUAGGACCACUCUGCCACCAUAAGUCGAUCAGUACGAAAUAUUUUAUUGAAAUGUGUUAGAUUUUUGUUAUCAUUCUAUUUUUUUAAUUUUAAUUGUACUAUUUUAUUUAUUUUGUUUAAUAUAACAACGAUGUGGAGUCCGAACAGGAUGAAAUUUGGGUCAAAGGGAGGCAAUUUAUUAUACCCCUGUUUAACUCCACAUACUUGAAAUUCCCUCAAUGUUAGGAUUUUCAUCUACUUGGAUAUUCAUGUUUGUACAUUUUUUUUAAUAUCAGAUGUAUACUAGCUAAUAUUGACUAUUAUUUAGAGCUCUGUAAUAAAAAAAAAUAAAUGUAAGCAGAGCUCUAGAUAAUAAGUAUGCAGGGUGGGAGAAAUCUUGGGUCAUUAACAAUUGAUUUGCUGAAAUUUUCAAGAAAGGGGAUUUAUUGGAAAUGCAUCUGAUAUAUUUAAUGUAUAAAACUAUAUUGAAAAAAAAGAUGUUAAUAUGAUGAGGAGAGCCACCUUGUCAGCCAGGAGAGCAGCUCUAAGGGAGAUGGUCAAUUUAAUCUUCACCAAGUCUGAGGCUUUACCAUGAAAAAUAUGUGGUUGUUAUAAUGAUGAUGUUUUCAUGGUGUUGGGAGUAAGACUUGGAUGUCUGAUAUUGUUAACAUGUUGGUUAGCAUCAGGUUUCCAUUGGGUUACUUGCUGGGAUAAAGCUGUUAUAAGGUGAGAAC